rnacentral:rRNA from 1 species
UACGGGGGGAGCAAGCGUUGUUCGGAUUUACUGGGCGUAAAGGGCGCGUAGGCGGUCAGCACAAGUCAGUUGUGAAAUCUCCGGGCUUAACUCGGAAAGGUCAACUGAUACUGUGCGACUAGAGUGCAGAAGGGGGCAACUGGAAUUCUCGGUGUAGCGGUGAAAUGCGCAGAUAUCAGGAGGAACACCGAUGGCGAAGGCGGAUCUCUGGGCCAUUACUGACGCUGAGGAGCGAAAGCGUGGGGAGCGAACGG